AUAUUGAUGACAGUAUGUCUAUUUAUGAAUAAAAGACAAAAAUGCUUCCCAACAGUAGCCGACGGCCAAUCCAGCUAUGGAAAUGUUCCAAAUGGUGAAUUUUUCUUUUCAACUUCACUGCAGUAUAUUUUCAUUAAGUGUUCAGGCCUAAUACCAUUCAUAUUUUUAAAUAUAAAAAAUCGUGUACAUCUGACAAUUACCUAAUGAGCUCAUUAUUAUGUUUCCCAUUAUGACUCAACUUGUAGUUGAUACUUUUGAGCCUACAUACGUGUAAGUAAAAAAUCUACGAAUAGCAGUUUUGGUAAAUAAUGUUGCCUGUGUUUACUUAGUGAUACCAUUUGACUGAAUUUAUUUCACCUCCCAUUGGAUAAUACAUAGAUUUCACUCUAUGACCACAUGUAUUAUGUUAUGUGUUAUGUUGAGCUCAGACCUUUCUUCCACAGAGAUCCGAUUCCAGGUAGUUUGCCAUUAUAUGGAAAUCUCCCAGACAUGGACCAGGUCUCCUAUGAAAACGUCUUUCCUACACCAUCCAUCGAACAUGAUUCUAAUGGAUCAGAUUAUGAAAAUUCUGACUUCUUGAGGAAAAAUGCUGACGAUCCAGAUUAUGUCAACCAAGAAGAAACCUGACCUUGCACUUUUGAAAACUACACUGUGAAACAUUUGACCUUUCAAAGCAGAAGCAGCACAGUGUUUGUUCCAGACAGGGCUCUUCUGCUGAAGCACUGCCACACACACACACACACACACACACACACACACACACACACACAAACACACCUACACACACACACACACAGACACACAAACACACCUACAAACACACACAGACACACGCACACAAACCUCACAACACAAACAAACACACAGACACACACACACGCACACCUCACAACACAAACAAACACACACACACACGCACACACACACACACACACACACACAGAAGAGAACCUUGUGUUCCAUUAAACUUAUCCGAUUAUCUCUUUUUUUUUAAAGUCUGUGUUAUUAUUGUCUCAUUUUAAGUUUUUUGUCAUUGUCUCAUUUUAAAAUGUUAAACUCUAACCUUAAAUUAAAGAAAAAAAUACACAUAUUCUUUCUUGUCUUUCCAAUGGAAAUAGCAUUUUCAACACUUUCAAACACUUUUAAUUCCAGUCC
rnacentral:lncRNA from 1 species